rnacentral:rRNA from 1 species
CCUACGGGAGGCAGCAGUGGGGAAUAUUGGACAAUGGGCGGAACCCUGACCCAGCAACGCCGCGUGAAUGAAGAAGGCUUUCGGGUUGUAAAGUUCUUUUAUCAGGGAAGAAGGAAAUGACGGUACCUGAUGAAUAAGCCCCGGCUAACUACGUGCCAGCAGCCGCGGUAAUACGUAGGUGGCAAGCGUUAUCCGGAUUUACUGGGUGUAAAGGGAGGGUAGGCGGGAGGGCAAGUCAGAUGUGAAACCCAGGGGCUCAACCCCUGAACUGCUUUGGAAACUGUCGGUCGGGAGUGCAGGAGAGGCAAUUGGAAUUCCUAGGGUAGCGGUGAAAUGCGUAGAUAUUAGGAGGAACACCAGUGGCGAAGGCGGAUUGCUGGACUGUAACUGACGCUGAGGCGCGAAAGCGUGGGGAGCAAACAGGAUUAGAUACCCGAGUAGUC